AGCUGAGCCUUGAUAGCUUUAUUGUUUACAUUGGCCCGUCUACUUACACAUCGUACAUACAGUAGUGACAGAGCAGGGUAUCAUGUGAGUAGGACAAAGCUGCAAUACGUUGCACCGUUGCCACUAAGAAGAUGGCAUGCUAGUAGAUGACCCAUAAUAAAAAAUGAAUGGGCUACAGUGUUCAUACAAGAACACUUCAAACUUCUGAUCAAUGAUGAUGCUGAGUCAAACCCCUACCAAUCUGAUAUUGAUGGCCUAUCCUAAGAACAUGCCAUUAACAUACUAGUGCUGAAAACACCUUUAAUGAGUAUUACUAUAUAUUAACCCAUAUCUUGACCCCACCUUGCAUAUUAUGUCAUGAUUUUUAAUUCAGUAAUUUGAGAUCUUCUACUUUUAUAAGACAUUAGAUAUUAGAACUGUACAAGAAAGAAGGUUUGCAUCUUUUUUUCAAGGGAACGAAUGUCCUCAGUGAACAGUUCCAAGUAUUUGCUAAGGAGCAUUUAAAC